UCAGAUUGUAGCUUAUAUUUAAAGUUGUUUACUUACAUUAAAUUGAAAAUUUUAUAUUCUUUCUGAU
rnacentral:tRNA from 1 species